rnacentral:rRNA from 1 species
AGAGUUGAUCCUGGCUCANGAUGAACGCGACCGGCAGGCCUAAUACAUGCAAGUCGAACGGUAAGGUCUCUUCGGAGAUACACGAGUGGCGCACGGGUGCGUAACGCGUAUGAACCUACCUUGAACUGGAAGAUAGCCCCGAGAAAUCGGGAUUAAUAUUCCAUAAUGUCCAUUUUUUGCAUAUGAGAUGGAUUAAAGUUACGGCGGUUCAAGAUGGGCAUGCGUGACAUUAGCUAGUUGGUGAGGUAACGGCUCACCAAGGCGACGAUGUCUAGGGGUCCUGAGAGGGUUCCCCCCACACUGGUACUGAGACACGGACCAGACUCCUACGGGAGGCAGCAGUAAGGAAUAUUGGUCAAUGGACGCAAGUCUGAACCAGCCAUGCCGCGUGCAGGAUGACUGCCCUACGGGUUGUAAACUGCUUUUACGUGAGAAAAAACUCCCCGAUUCGUUCGGGGACUGAUGGUAUCACAUGAAUAAGCAUCGGCUAACUCCGUGCCAGCAGCCGCGGUAAUACGGAGGAUGCAAGCGUUAUCCGGAUUCAUUGGGUUCAAAGGGUGUGCAGGCGGAAUGAUAAGUCAGAGG